rnacentral:lncRNA from 1 species
AGGCAGUUGAGAUUAAUCUACAGGAGGAGGAGAAGAAUCAUCCACACCACUCUUCGCCACCCGGCUGGGAGCAAUUCCAGAAGGCAGGGUCUGCUUGGGCAGUUGAGAGGCCUUGGGUCAUGCCGCUUAUUGAAACCAUCAGCAGGAGGAGUUUGGAUAAAGCUGAAGUUCCACUUAGGCGCUCGGUGAUCCAUCUGGGAAGACAGUGGCCACAGCCCAACAGGAGGCCGGGGAACCUGGACCCCACCAGCCAAGCUUUGAGAAGCAGAUAGGCUUGAAUGAGCAUGGAAUGUAUCUAUUUAAAAAGCAGCUGGAAGUCUGUCAAGUGCAUUCUGGAAAUGGAUUCAGGCUAACAGAGUGUUCUGAAUAGAGACGCCUAAAACAAUGCUGGAUAAAGUGGGAUGAUGCAGUGACCACACAGAAUGUCAUUUCUGAUGAAAGCUGGCAUGCCAGCCCGUGACAGGACACAGAGGAGCGUGGAUUCCCCUUCAUGGUUGACUUCAGCCAAGGCCAUCAUCCCCGCUGCCAAAGCCUGCCCUGAUUGCCUGCCCUGGGGGAGAGAAGUGUUUUGAAGAUGACAAAUCAAAGUCAGGUCCUGCAUGGAGUUUGCGUGCCUGACAGCCUGGCUAGCACAGGAGGACAUGCAGGUGGAAUUUGUGCAAGCCUGUUAUUUUCUGUAACACAAUACACACUGAGAAGGCAAUGGGUACCUUGGACCCUGCAGGCCAAUUCAAGCACCAUCACUACUUUUCAGAAGUGUGGGGCAUAGAUGUCAACUGAGCCUAGCAAGAUGUCCUAUGUUACCAAGAGACUAUUAGAAAGCAGAGCAGGUCUCAAGAUUCAAUGAAACAAUUGCCUGGAAGCUGGAAGAUAAUAUGGAAGCUAGGGAUAUAAUAGAGUAUGUUGCUGGGAACGGUGGCUCCUGCCUGUAAUCGCAGCACUUUGGGAGGCUGAGGUAGGGGGGAUCACUUGAGCCCAGGAGUUGGAGGCCAGCCUGGGCAACACAGCAAGACCCCAUUUCUAUAAAUAAUUAAAAAAAAAAUUAGCUGGGUGUUGUGGUGCAUGCCUGUAUUCUUAACUACUCCAGAGGCUGAGGUGGGAGGAUGGCUUGAGUCCAGAAGUUCAAGGUUACAGUGAACUACGAUUGAGCCACACUGCAUUCCAGCUGGGUAACAGAGGGAGACUCUGUCUCUAAAAAAAAAAAUUAAAAAAAAAGUAGGGUGGGUGGUUGAGGGUUGUGCAGUGUGAGUGAGGGUGGCCAGAAAAACCAUUUCCGUGACAGUUACAAAGGCUGUGUGUGGAUGGUGACGCUGAGGUUUUAUCUUCAAGUGAGUUGUGCAUAUGAGGUUUGUUUGAUUCUAAAGCAUUUAUUUUCUAAAUGCAAACUUUUAGAAUAAAGUCUAGUUCCUGUUGCUCUAUUUUGGCAUAGGUUUUUAAUGUUUCAUAUACUUAGAACUUCAAAAUGGUGGUGGUUGGGGUCUGUCUUCUUACCUGCUGGAGGCCCUGCCAGGUGCUAGCCAGAAGCAGUCAUUAUUGCUUAGGCAGUCGUUGUGGGAGGCUGGGUGUGGCUCUCGCGGAGCCAGAAUGAAGGAUAGCAACUCAUUAACACACACACACCCACCCCUAAACACACACGUGCACCUACACACAGCUGGGAGUCCUAAGGAAGAGACCACACCUUUUUUGUUUUUUGCUUUUUUACCACCUUCAUUAUGAGUCUAAAGUCAAUUCAAUUAACCAGCUAUUUGAAAUUUUUACAUCUAACAGGAGCUGAGAAGAUCCAGUGGGUUAUUGGCUGGUGGGACUGAACUGACCUUCAUAUCUCAGCGAUGAGUCCUGUAGACUGCAGGCUCCACGGCAGUUGCAGCUCCCAGGGCUUCAGAUUGGAGCUGCCUGUGACAUGCAGAGGUGGAAGCACAGCCUCAGCUGUGGUGGACGGCAGCCUCUUUCAGCCCCCAGGUGCAUAACAAAGGCUGUCUUGAUUGUAUCUGUGAGAGUGCCAUGAUUUGGGGUUUUCUCUGUCGGUUUGGACCAGAUCAGAAAGCAAUUGGGACUAUUGUGUCUCUCAUGGAAACCCAAGGUGGGAGAAAGAAGCAGAAGGAGAUCCUGGAACCAAAAACACUUCAGCAAUGAAGACUGGAUUUUCUCUGAAAUGAACAACAAAAUAAAAUCUCUCCUGUAGAUCUCUAAAGC